rnacentral:rRNA from 1 species
GGUAUAGACCCGAAACCCGGUGAUCUAGCCAUGGGCAGGUUGAAGGUUGGGUAACACUAACUGGAGGACCGAACCGACUAAUGUUGAAAAAUUAGCGGAUGACUUGUGGCUGGGGGUGAAAGGCCAAUCAAACCGGGAGAUAGCUGGUUCUCCCCGAAAGCUAUUUAGGUAGCGCCUCGUGAAUUCAUCUCCGGGGGUAGAGCACUGUUUCGGCAAGGGGGUCAUCCCGACUUACCAACCCGAUGCAAACUGCGAAUACCGGAGAAUGUUAUCACGGGAGACACACGGCGGGUGCUAACGUCCGUCGUGAAGAGGGAAACAACCCAGACCGCCAGCUAAGGUCCCAAAGUCAUGGUUAAGUGGGAAACGAUGUGGGAAGGCCCAGACAGCCAGGAUGUUGGCUUAGAAGCAGCCAUCAUUUAAAGAAAGCGUAAUAGCUCACUGGUCGAGUCGGCCUGCGCGGAAGAUGUAACGGGGCUAAACCAUGCACCGAAGCUGCGGCAGCGACGCUUAUGCGUUGUUGGGUAGGGGAGCGUUCUGUAAGCCUGUGAAGGUGUGCUGUGAGGCAUGCUGGAGGUAUCAGAAGUGCGAAUGCUGACAUAAGUAACGAUAAAGCGGGUGAAAAGCCCGCUCGCCGGAAGACCAAGGGUUCCUGUCCAACGUUAAUCGGGGCAGGGUGAGUCGACCCCUAAGGCGAGGCCGAAAGGCGUAGUCGAUGGGAAACAGGUUAAUAUUCCUGUACUUGGUGUUACUGCGAAGGGGGGACGGAGAAGGCUAUGUUGGCCGGGCGACGGUUGUCCCGGUUUAAGCGUGUAGGCUGGUUUUCCAGGCAAAUCCGGAAAAUCAAGGCUGAGGCGUGAUGACGAGGCACUACGGUGCUGAAGCAACAAAUGCCCUGCUUCCAGGAAAAGCCUCUAAGCAUCAGGUAACAUCAAAUCGUACCCCAAACCGACACAGGUGGUCAGGUAGAGAAUACCAAGGCGCUUGAGAGAACUCGGGUGAAGGAACUAGGCAAAAUGGUGCCGUAACUUCGGGAGAAGGCACGCUGAUAUGUAGGUGAAGCGACUUGCUCGUGGAGCUGAAAUCAGUCGAAGAUACCAGCUGGCUGCAACUGUUUAUUAAAAACACAGCACUGUGCAAACACGAAAGUGGACGUAUACGGUGUGACGCCUGCCCGGUGCCGGAAGGUUAAUUGAUGGGGUUAGCGCAAGCGAAGCUCUUGAUCGAAGCCCCGGUAAACGGCGGCCGUAACUAUAACGGUCCUAAGGUAGCGAAAUUCCUUGUCGGGUAAGUUCCGACCUGCACGAAUGGCGUAAUGAUGGCCAGGCUGUCUCCACCCGAGACUCAGUGAAAUUGAACUCGCUGUGAAGAUGCAGUGUACCCGCGGCAAGACGGAAAGACCCCGUGAACCUUUACUAUAGCUUGACACUGAACAUUGAGCCUUGAUGUGUAGGAUAGGUGGGAGGCUUUGAAGUGUGGACGCCAGUCUGCAUGGAGCCGACCUUGAAAUACCACCCUUUAAUGUUUGAUGUUCUAACGUGGACCCGUGAUCCGGGUUGCGGACAGUGUCUGGUGGGUAGUUUGACUGGGGCGGUCUCCUCCUAAAGAGUAACGGAGGAGCACGAAGGUUGGCUAAUCCUGGUCGGACAUCAGGAGGUUAGUGCAAUGGCAUAAGCCAGCUUGACUGCGAGCGUGACGGCGCGAGCAGGUGCGAAAGCAGGUCAUAGUGAUCCGGUGGUUCUGAAUGGAAGGGCCAUCGCUCAACGGAUAAAAGGUACUCCGGGGAUAACAGGCUGAUACCGCCCAAGAGUUCAUAUCGACGGCGGUGUUUGGCACCUCGAUGUCGGCUCAUCACAUCCUGGGGCUGAAGUAGGUCCCAAGGGUAUGGCUGUUCGCCAUUUAAAGUGGUACGCGAGCUGGGUUUAGAACGUCGUGAGACAGUUCGGUCCCUAUCUGCCGUGGGCGCUGGAGAACUGAGGGGGGCUGCUCCUAGUACGAGAGGACCGGAGUGGACGCAUCACUGGUGUUCGGGUUGUCAUGCCAAUGGCACUGCCCGGUAGCUAAAUGCGGAAGAGAUAAGUGCUGAAAGCAUCUAAGCACGAAACUUGCCCCGAGAUGAGUUCUCCCUGACUCCUUGAGAGUCCUGAAGGAACGUUGAAGACGACGACGUUGAUAGGCC